rnacentral:rRNA from 1 species
CUUUCAACAACGGAUCUCUAGGCUCUUGCAUCGAUGAAGAACGCAGUGAAAUGCGAUAAGUAAUGUGAAUUGCAGAAUCUCGUGAAUCAUUGAAUCUUUGAACGCACAUUGCGCCCUAUGGUAUUCCAUUGGGCAUGCCUGUCUGAGCGUCAGCU